rnacentral:rRNA from 2 species
GGUUAAGCGACUAAGCGUACACGGUGGAUGCCCUGGCAGUCAGAGGCGAUGAAGGACGUGCUAAUCUGCGAUAAGCGUCGGUAAGGUGAUAUGAACCGUUAUAACCGGCGAUUUCCGAAUGGGGAAACCCAGUGUGAUUCGUCACACUAUCAUUAACUGAAUCCAUAGGUUAAUGAGGCGAACCGGGGGAACUGAAACAUCUAAGUACCCCGAGGAAAAGAAAUCAACCGAGAUUCCCCCAGUAGCGGCGAGCGAACGGGGAGCAGCCCAGAGCCUGAAUCAGUGUGUGUGUUAGUGGAAGCGUCUGGAAAGGCGCGCGAUACAGGGUGACAGCCCCGUACACAAAAAUGCACAUACUGUGAGCUCGAUGAGUAGGGCGGGACACGUGGUAUCCUGUCUGAAUAUGGGGGGACCAUCCUCCAAGGCUAAAUACUCCUGACUGACCGAUAGUGAACCAGUACCGUGAGGGAAAGGCGAAAAGAACCCCGGCGAGGGGAGUGAAAAAGAACCUGAAACCGUGUACGUACAAGCAGUGGGAGCACAGAGCAAUCUGUGUGACUGCGUACCUUUUGUAUAAUGGGUCAGCGACUUAUAUUCUGUAGCAAGGUUAACCGAAUAGGGGAGCCGAAGGGAAACCGAGUCUUAACUGGGCGUUAAGUUGCAGGGUAUAGACCCGAAACCCGGUGAUCUAGCCAUGGGCAGGUUGAAGGUUGGGUAACACUAACUGGAGGACCGAACCGACUAAUGUUGAAAAAUUAGCGGAUGACUUGUGGCUGGGGGUGAAAGGCCAAUCAAACCGGGAGAUAGCUGGUUCUCCCCGAAAGCUAUUUAGGUAGCGCCUCGUGAAUUCAUCUCCGGGGGUAGAGCACUGUUUCGGCAAGGGGGUCAUCCCGACUUACCAACCCGAUGCAAACUGCGAAUACCGGAGAAUGUUAUCACGGGAGACACACGGCGGGUGCUAACGUCCGUCGUGAAGAGGGAAACAACCCAGACCGCCAGCUAAGGUCCCAAAGUCAUGGUUAAGUGGGAAACGAUGUGGGAAGGCCCAGACAGCCAGGAUGUUGGCUUAGAAGCAGCCAUCAUUUAAAGAAAGCGUAAUAGCUCACUGGUCGAGUCGGCCUGCGCGGAAGAUGUAACGGGGCUAAACCAUGCACCGAAGCUGCGGCAGCGACGCUGAUGCGUUGUUGGGUAGGGGAGCGUUCUGUAAGCCUGUGAAGGUGUGCUGUGAGGCAUGCUGGAGGUAUCAGAAGUGCGAAUGCUGACAUAAGUAACGAUAAAGCGGGUGAAAAGCCCGCUCGCCGGAAGACCAAGGGUUCCUGUCCAACGUUAAUCGGGGCAGGGUGAGUCGACCCCUAAGGCGAGGCCGAAAGGCGUAGUCGAUGGGAAACAGGUUAAUAUUCCUGUACUUGGUGUUACUGCGAAGGGGGGACGGAGAAGGCUAUGUUGGCCGGGCGACGGUUGUCCCGGUUUAAGCGUGUAGGCUGGUUUUCCAGGCAAAUCCGGAAAAUCAAGGCUGAGGCGUGAUGACGAGGCACUACGGUGCUGAAGCAACAAAUGCCCUGCUUCCAGGAAAAGCCUCUAAGCAUCAGGUAACAUCAAAUCGUACCCCAAACCGACACAGGUGGUCAGGUAGAGAAUACCAAGGCGCUUGAGAGAACUCGGGUGAAGGAACUAGGCAAAAUGGUGCCGUAACUUCGGGAGAAGGCACGCUGAUAUGUAGGUGAAGUCCCUCGCGGAUGGAGCUGAAAUCAGUCGAAGAUACCAGCUGGCUGCAACUGUUUAUUAAAAACACAGCACUGUGCAAACACGAAAGUGGACGUAUACGGUGUGACGCCUGCCCGGUGCCGGAAGGUUAAUUGAUGGGGUCAGCGCAAGCGAAGCUCUUGAUCGAAGCCCCGGUAAACGGCGGCCGUAACUAUAACGGUCCUAAGGUAGCGAAAUUCCUUGUCGGGUAAGUUCCGACCUGCACGAAUGGCGUAAUGAUGGCCAGGCUGUCUCCACCCGAGACUCAGUGAAAUUGAACUCGCUGUGAAGAUGCAGUGUACCCGCGGCAAGACGGAAAGACCCCGUGAACCUUUACUAUAGCUUGACACUGAACAUUGAGCCUUGAUGUGUAGGAUAGGUGGGAGGCUUUGAAGUGUGGACGCCAGUCUGCAUGGAGCCGACCUUGAAAUACCACCCUUUAAUGUUUGAUGUUCUAACGUUGACCCGUAAUCCGGGUUGCGGACAGUGUCUGGUGGGUAGUUUGACUGGGGCGGUCUCCUCCUAAAGAGUAACGGAGGAGCACGAAGGUUGGCUAAUCCUGGUCGGACAUCAGGAGGUUAGUGCAAUGGCAUAAGCCAGCUUGACUGCGAGCGUGACGGCGCGAGCAGGUGCGAAAGCAGGUCAUAGUGAUCCGGUGGUUCUGAAUGGAAGGGCCAUCGCUCAACGGAUAAAAGGUACUCCGGGGAUAACAGGCUGAUACCGCCCAAGAGUUCAUAUCGACGGCGGUGUUUGGCACCUCGAUGUCGGCUCAUCACAUCCUGGGGCUGAAGUAGGUCCCAAGGGUAUGGCUGUUCGCCAUUUAAAGUGGUACGCGAGCUGGGUUUAGAACGUCGUGAGACAGUUCGGUCCCUAUCUGCCGUGGGCGCUGGAGAACUGAGGGGGGCUGCUCCUAGUACGAGAGGACCGGAGUGGACGCAUCACUGGUGUUCGGGUUGUCAUGCCAAUGGCACUGCCCGGUAGCUAAAUGCGGAAGAGAUAAGUGCUGAAAGCAUCUAAGCACGAAACUUGCCCCGAGAUGAGUUCUCCCUGACUCCUUGAGAGUCCUGAAGGAACGUUGAAGACGACGACGUUGAUAGGCCGGGUGUGUAAGCGCAGCGAUGCGUUGAGCUAACCGGUACUAAUGAACCGUGAGGCUUAACCUU